rnacentral:rRNA from 1 species
GACGAACGCUGGCGGCGUGCUUAACACAUGCAAGUCGAACGGAAAGGCCCUGCUUUUGUGGGGUGCUCGAGUGGCGAACGGGUGAGUAACACGUGAGUAACCUGCCCUUGACUUUGGGAUAACUUCAGGAAACUGGGGCUAAUACCGGAUAGGAGCUCCUGCUGCAUGGUGGGGGUUGGAAAGUUUCGGCGGUUGGGGAUGGACUCGCGGCUUAUCAGCUUGUUGGUGGGGUAGUGGCUUACCAAGGCUUUGACGGGUAGCCGGCCUGAGAGGGUGACCGGCCACAUUGGGACUGAGAUACGGCCCAGACUCCUACGGGAGGUAGCAGUGGGGAAUAUUGCACAAUGGGCGGAAGCCUGAUGCAGCAACGCCGCGUGCGGGAUGGCGGCCUACGGGUUGUAAACCGCUUUCGCCUGUGACGAAGCGUGAGUGACGGUAAUGGGUAAAGAAGCACCGGCUAACUACGUG